AUGGGAGAUGCAAUCAAGUCAGGGGCUGCCGCUAAGCCCAAACCUGCUCCCAAAGCUGCUGCUCAAAACACCAAGUCUGCACCCAAGAGAAGCACCAGAAACAUCCCAGCUGAAGAGAAGAACAAGGCCCCAGUGCCUGAAGUUGAAGAAGAAGAUGCUGAAGCCCAAGGGCUGAGAAACCUCAAACCAAAGAUUCCAGACCACAAUGACACCCAUCUAGUGGUAGAUGACAUGAGCAUCAGGAAGGAUGCAGGUCUGAUACUUUGGAGGAAGUGUGAUCCUUAUGCUGUGAGAAGGAGAACUACAGUGGACUACAGGUUCCACACCAAAGAACAACAAGACUUCUAUGAGACCAUUCUGCUUGACAAGAAGCCAAUUAUUUGUGACAUGAGAUGGGUUGACUGGACAUACAUCAGAGAGAAUGAAGAUCACUUCCCAGGUGUAUACGACAGCUUCAAAGCUUGUGGAGUUGAUAAGUUUGUUGGACAAAAGCUCACCAAGUGGAAUGAUGAGAUGAUCAUGCAAUUCUACUCCACUGCUCAUUUCUAUCCAGAUGGAAGGAUAGUGUGGAUGUCUGAAGGUACAAGGUACCAAUCAACUGUUGAAGAAUGGGCAAAGUUGAUCAAUGCUCCAGAAGAUCAUGAGGAUGAUUUGGGCGUGUAUGCCAAGAUGAAGAAAGACCACAACUCCAUGGCAAGUAUGUACAAGGAAAUUCCUGAUGAAGCCCUGGAAACUCACAAGUUGGGCUCAGUGAAGUAUCCGUUGUCUGGUCUGCCUACUAUCAACACCAUCUUGAGGCAUACUCUAUUGCCCAAAUCUGGAGAUCAUAGGAUGAUAAGAGGACAUUCAAUCAACUUGUUGCACAUUUUUUAUGUCCCUCAAAAAUUCAAGGUCAUGAGUCUAAUUGUAGAGACAAUCAAGAGGACAUCAACUGAUCAGAAAAGGUCUUGUGGGUAUGCUCCACACAUUUAG
rnacentral:rRNA from 1 species